rnacentral:piRNA from 1 species
GAGCAAAGGCAGUCAGGCCAGAGAUGG